CCUACGGGGGGCAGCAGUGGGGGAUAUUGGACAAUGGGGGAAACCCUGAUCCAGCGACGCCGCGUGAGUGAAGAAGUAUUUCGGUAUGUAAAGCUCUGUCAGCAGGGAAGAAAGAAAUGACGGUACCUGACCAAGAAGCCCCGGCUAACUACGUGCCAGCAGCCGCGGUAAUACGUAGGGGGCAAGCGUUAUCCGGAAUUACUGGGUGUAAAGGGAGCGUAGACGGUGAUGCAAGUCUGGAGUGAAAGGCGGGGGCCCAACCCCCGGACUGCUCUGGAAACUGUGUAACUUGAGUGCAGGAGAGGUAAGCGGAAUUCCUAGUGUAGCGGUGAAAUGCGUAGAUAUUAGGAGGAACACCAGUGGCGAAGGCGGCUUACUGGACUGUAACUGACGCUCAUGCACGAAAGUGUGGGUAUCGAACAGGAUUAGAUACCCUAGUAGUC
rnacentral:rRNA from 1 species